GACGAACGCUGGCGGCGUGCCUAAUACAUGCAAGUAGAACGCUGAAGGAGGAGCUUGCUUCUCUGGAUGAGUUGCGAACGGGUGAGUAACGCGUAGGUAACCUGCCUGGUAGCGGGGGAUAACUAUUGGAAACGAUAGCUAAUACCGCAUAAGAGUAGAUGUUGCAUGACAUUUGCUUAAAAGGUGCAAUUGCAUCACUACCAGAUGGACCUGCGUUGUAUUAGCUAGUUGGUGGGGUAACGGCUUACCAAGGCGACGAUACGUAGCCGACCUGAGAGGGUGAUCGGCCACACUGGGACUGAGACACGGCCCAGACUCCUACGGGAGGCAGCAGUAGGGAAUCUUCGGCAAUGGACGGAAGUCUGACCGAGCAACGCCGCGUGAGUGAAGAAGGGUUUCGGAUCGUAAAGCUCUGUUGUAAGAGAAGAACGAGGGUGAGAGUGGAAAGUUCACACUGUGACGGUAUCUUACCAGAAAGGGACGGCUAACUACGUG
rnacentral:rRNA from 1 species